CUGGAAGCCGUGAGCCCACAGGCUGGGCACGUCGUCGUCCACGAUCUCCAUCUUGCGGCCGGUGAAGGAGGGGCUCUCGAACAGGUGCAGCUUGUGGUCAGGGCCGUCCUGGGAGCGACAGGGCGGUGAGCGCGCUGCUUCUGCACCAGGAUGAAGACUCAUGCUACAAUUCAUGUUAAAUUCCAGAUGUUACUGCGUGUAAUCCUACCACUCUGGGAGGCCGAGGCAGGAAGAUCCCAAGUUUGACCUCAGCUUGGGCAAUUUAGAACUUGCUUCAAAAUUUUAAAAAACUAAAGAAAG